rnacentral:rRNA from 1 species
CCUACGGGUGGCAGCAGUGGGGGAUAUUGCACAAUGGGGGAAACCCUGAUGCAGCCACGCCGCGUGAGUGAAGAAGUAUUUCGGUAUGUAAAGCUCUAUCAGCAGCGAAGAGAAUGUCGGUACCUGUCUACGAAGCCCCGGCUAACUACGUGCCAGCAGCCGCGGUCAUACGUAGGGGGCGAGCGUUAUCCGGAUUUACUGGGUGUAACGGGAGCGGAGACGGCUGGUCAAGUCGGAAGUGAAAGCCCGGGGCUUAACCCCGGAACGGCUUGGGAAACUGAGCAGCUAGAGUGCUGGAGAGGUAAGCGGAAUGCCUAGUGUAGCGGUGAAAUGCGUAGAGAUGAGGAGGAACACCAGUGGCGAAGGCAGCUUACUGGACAGUAACUGACGUUGAGGCGCGAAAGCGUGGGGAGCAAACAGGAUUAGAUACCCCGGUAGUC